UGGAGCUGGAGCUGGCGGGCUUUGCAUCUCCCUGGGAGCGGGAGGGCCAAGCGCCUGCGAGGUGUUUUGAGGCACUUGACGUCUCUCCGUGUAACUCCCUGCACUUUGCCUGCUGCUUUAUUUUAAAUGUUUUAAUGAUUCUGUCCACGUGGCGCAGCCUCACUGCACAAAUGCCCUUUUUGCUGUUGUGGCACCCACUGAGGAAUACAAGAUCUGAUCCGUGACAGGGCCUUCAUCUGAUGAAGUGCUACAAUGAGUCCAUCCUGAUCCCAUGUCUGUUAUCCGUAUCAAAGUGAACAGUACAGAACAUACUCUCUAUUCCUAGAACAAAAUUAAGAGAUGCUCUGGUAGCUUUUUUUUUUCAACAAGCCACUGGGGUAUUUAUUGAGCAGUGUUGUCCCUGAGCAAAAACAAGGGAAUAAAUGCAAAUGUUAACAAAACAUUAAUGCUGAGAUGUUAAUUAUGUGAAGGUCAGCACGUUCAAAUUUUAUUAUUUUAGAGGAGCUAUUCUAUAUUCCUGCCACAAUCAUUACUCCACUUUUAUAACAUGAAUAAGUUCAAGUUACUAUUUGUUUUCUGAUAAGUACAAGGGAAUCAAGUUACAUUUGCAGCAGGAACACGUUUGAAUUUCCAUAUUUUUGUGCAAUUUAAAUCUCAAUCUUUACCACUGUGUUAGCAUCUUUUGCAUGAUUCUCUACAUGUUUGCAUAUUGUCUCAUUACAAUUAAAGGUCUGACAGAGGUUUAUUCUAA